AACGAACGCUGGCGGCAUGCCUAACACAUGCAAGUCGAACGGGAUCCUAGCUUGCUAGGUGAGAGUGGCGGACGGGUGAGUAACACGUGGGAAUCUGCCUUUUGGUUCGGGAUAACCGCGGAAACUGCGGCUAAUACCGAAUGCCCUCGAGAGAGGAAAGAUUUAUCGCCAGAAGAGGAGCCCGCGUCCGAUUAGGUAGUUGGUGGGGUAAAGCCUACCAAGCCGACGAUCGGUAGCUGGUCUGAGAGGAUGAUCAGCCACACUGGGACUGAGAUACGGCCCAGACUCCUACGGGAGGCAGCAGUGGGGAAUAUUGGACAAUGGGGCAACCCUGAUCCAGCAAAUGCCGCGUGAGUGAUG
rnacentral:rRNA from 1 species